GGAGAUGUAGCUUAGUGGUAAAGCUCACAAGAAGUAACGGAUGCUCACACGCUCUAAAGCUGUGCCUGCAAGAAAUUGUAGGAAACUGAGGAGUUACAAGCGUGUUCUUCGGAAUUGUGGAUCGUUGGUUCGAAUCCAACCAUCUCUA
rfam:Phialocephala scopiformis strain CBS 120377 unplaced genomic scaffold LY89scaffold_29, whole genome shotgun sequence.